UACGUAGGUGACAAGCGUUGUCCGGAUUUACUGGGCGUAAAGAGCGCGCAGGCGGUCGUUCAAGUCGAGUGUGAAAGCCCCCGGCUCAACUGGGGAGGGUCACUCGAUACUGAUCGACUCGAAGGCAGGAGAGGGAAGUGGAAUUCCCGGUGUAGUGGUGAAAAUGCGUAGAUAUCGGGAGGAACACCAGUGGCGAAGGCGACUUCCUGGCCUGUUCUUGACGCUGAGGCGCGAAAGCUAGGGGAGCAAACGGG
rnacentral:rRNA from 1 species